rnacentral:rRNA from 1 species
UACGGAGGGUGCGAGCGUUGUCCGGAAUCACUGGGCGUAAAGGGCGCGUAGGUGGCGCGGGCAGUCAACGGUGAAAGUUCGGGGCUCAACCCUGAAUCGGCCGUCGAUACUCCCGUGCUUGAGCACUGUAGAGGCAGAUGGAAUUCCGGGUGUAGCGGUGGAAUGCGUAGAGAUCCGGAGGAACACCGGUGGUGUAAACGGCUUUCUGGACCAUAACUGACGCUGAGGCACGAAAGCGUGGGUAGCAAACAGG